AUCAUGGCUCAUGACACCCAUCUACUGAACCAACAUCUAUCCUGGGCGUUGAUCCUGCUGCAAAACCUGGGUUUCCUAAUCAACUGGGACAAGUCAAUCCUGCAACCUUCCCUAUGAAUAGAGUUUCUGGGCUUCAAUAUAGAUGCAAUUCACGGAACGCUCAGUCUACCAACCACAAAGGUAAAACUCAUCAAGAAGGAAAUCCGAC